UAACUCUCCGGGAGUUGGGGGACUUGAUUUAAACCACGACACUUGGCAGUAUUCAAGGACAGAUUGAAUGGAGUCUUGGGUGACAUGAUUUAGUGUGUGGUCUCCCUGUCCAUGGCAGAGGGUUUGGAACUAGAUAAUCUUAAGGUCCUUUCCAACCUAAACUAGUCUAUAAUUCUGUAAUGAUCUCCGGAGGUGUCUAUUAGCACGCAUGAUCCAUAGACGUUUCUGGCUGUGGAUGCAAGCAGAAAUUCUAGACUCACUGCCUGUACACCUCCAACCUCUCUGAAAAGUGUACCAGCAGAAUUAACCACAGAAAAGACACUGAAAUUGUCUUGGCAAAAUGGCUUGGUAUUUUCUUGACGUUACCUUAAAGGACUGUCUGUCAUUUAAAAUAGAAGCCCUUUUUAUCCUAGACUGAAGCAGCAGGACUGAUAUUUGUGAAAAGUGACAGUGCUCAGUACCACAGUCCUUUGCUCUCUGCUCAGACGGGCUGCUUUGCAGUUGUGGGCGAUUCUGGUAGGAAAUAGGUGGCACCAGCAGAAUAAGGAAGCUGGUCAGGCACAUCUUCCUAGUGCAUUUUCAAAUUUACAAGUCAUGUUUUUGAAAACUUUUGAGAGAUUAUACAGGAUUUAGAAAUAACUAAAGCAUUUGCCUGGGAUAUUUUGACCCUCUGGGCAAGCAUGACAUGGGCCAGUGUUUCCAGCCUUUAAUUGCAUGAUAUUAUUUUUAAUAUAACAUGUUUACUGUUCUGUGAGGGAAACAGUUGGAAAAUAUUUUUUAAAUUGCUUGUGUGCCAUUUGCAGAACUAAUUUUGUUCCAAUUUUGAAGCUGUGAAAUUGUCAGGGAAUUUAAUUCUUCUAAAGGCCAUUUACUAUUCUUAAAUGCCAAUAUUCACACUUUUUCAGUAGUGAAAGUCUUCCACGUGGUUGAUGAUUUUGUGCUCCUUAUGUGAUCUGCUAAAGCCUUAAUGGGAGGAGUUUGAACAUAGAGGAGGUGGAACCACUUCAUAAUUUCUCUCUCCAGCCUUGGCUUUUGUCAUUUGCAUGCACAGAUGGGAAAGAUGAGCUCUGCCUGUUUUGUCUGUAGUGGCCCCAAAGGCAUGACUUCACAGAAUUUGAUGACAAGUUUCACUCUGACAUACUGCAAGGAUGAAGCGUACAAAGGAAAAUUGAGGAUCCAGCCUUUCAUUGUGUAAUUAAAUCCACGAGCAUGAAAAGCAGCAGAUGGGUUUGCCAAUUCACAAAACAUUUGUUUCAUUUGGUAAAUGUCUCAGUUAAUUUUACCCGUUUAUAUAUACCUUUCCUGUUUUAUCUUUUUCUUCCUAUUUUAUCUGAUUCACUGUGGAAAUGAAAUGCUGUUCUAAAACACUUGGUAACAUAAACAACAAAUUAAAUCUGCACAUGAAAUCAAACUUGCUCUUCCCGUCUCCCCUCAAAUAAAGAAGACUGUGUGAUUGAUUCAGAAAACAGGAUUUUUCUGUAUAUAGAUUAAGAUAUAUAAACUGAAAACCAAAAUGUUUGUUACAGGUUUGUCAGUCAGGCUUUUCCUUCAGAGAAAAAAAGAUUCCAAAGCUUUUCAGGAUUAUCUGAAUGAUUCACAGUGUUAUAACAGCAUUUUUAGCUCACAGCACUCUUAUGUGUGGAGCAGAAGGAUAUCUGGUUUACAGGGAUACCCGUUUAAGGCCUAUUCAGCACAAGAGACACAUUCAAGAGGUAAGAAAAGUUAUAAACAAAUGGAUACAUAAGCCUUAAUAAGUUGGCCAGAGUUUUAGGUCUGUGACAGACAGGUCUAUGCAAGAGCAUCUUGAAUCCCCUAGGAAAAAGUAAGUUUAUUAUGCGAUACUAAAGUGGGCUUGUAGAACUGUGCAAGCUUACUAUGGGAACGUGUGGGAAUCUUUCUCACCUUUUUCUCCAGGUCUUGCUGCCCUUUCCAGGAUGCCCCUCUAUCAAUGAGUCAAACCCUCAGAUUUUCUAUGAUUUUCUUUUGACCUUUUACACAUUUGCAGAUGCGUGAAAAACGUAUGCGUGGUAAUUAUACUCACUAAUUAAAGUGUCCACAUAUUUUCUUUUUCUUUGGUUCAGCUGGCCUUAGGGAUGUUGCUGGGCAUUUUAGGGUCACCUGAUAUGAUGGUUUGUUUCAGGAGGAUGGGGUGGUAGAAAUGGUAAGCUAGAGGUAGAGCCAAAGCUGUUAGUUCUCAAGGUGGGAGCGACUGUGCUUUUUCUAUGGGUCUUUUCUCACUUCAGCACCCUCACUCUGACUGACAAGAGCCAUAGUAGGUCUAUUCACUUCACAUGGCAGAUGACCUGGACCAAGCCCAUCCACUCCCUGCAUCUUCUGCAUCUUCCUCGUGUAGAUUGAACGCAUUUGAGCCCAGACCUCAUCGUGGACAGAGGCUGAGAAACUAAAAUGUCCAGUUUAUUUCCAGUAUUUCUACUUCUAGUGUGUUCUAUGUUUAGUGGGAUGGAAAUGAGUCAUAUUUUGCUUGAAGUUCAAACAGGAGAAUUUUAUACAUUGCCUAAUGCCAAAUUGGCCAGUAAACCAUGUUAAUUAGGAUUGUUAGGGAAAUUUUAUUUUAUUGAUUAAAAGUCCCACAGCUGCAAGAAACGUAACCAGUGAUUGAUCGUAUAUUUCACCUAGUUUCCCAUUCAGAAUUAAAAAGAAGGUGAUGGUUUGGAUUGCUAAUGGGACAUAGGUCUUUACUUCAAAUGACCUCCUUUAUGCUACAGCUGGCUAGUUUUUUUUUU